UACGUAGGCAGCGAGCGUUGUUCGGAGUUACUGGGCGUAAAGAGUACGUAGGCGGUUUGCUAAGUCUGGUGUGAAAUCUCCUGGCUUAACUGGGAGGGUGCGCUAGAUACUGGCAGGCUUGAGUAUGGGAGAGGAGAGUGGAAUUCCUGGUGUAGCGGUGAAAUGCGUAGAUAUCAGGAGGAACGCCGGUGGUGUAGACGGCUCUCUGGACCAUUACUGACGCUGAGGUACGAAAGCGUGGGUAGCAAACAGG
rnacentral:rRNA from 1 species